CCGGGCAGGCCCCGCCCCCCGCCGGGAGAGGGCGCAGAGCAGAACUCCCCAAAGACACCUUGACAGUCUGGAUACAGCUGUUUUGUUGAACUAUGGCCACAGCAGCAACAAGGUAUAUUUUUAAGAGUGAAAUGGAAAGUUGGAAACACUGGGUCGAAACCUUCCCCAGGAACAGUGGUCACUUCCUGAAGACAUAGGAGGAGGAAUCAAGUUAAGUGCUUCUCUGUAAUUACUAAUCUUUCAAAGUUACAUAAUCUUUUGACUACUGCAUUGAAAAUGGGUACACACAAAUCAGUGACUUAUGAGCAUGAGUUUCCGUCCACAGUUAUCAGAACCACCCAAACCAUAGUAAAUAUAAAGCCAUAUCACUGCUGUGAGCAGAAGCCCACAUGUUGACUUCUGUGGGGGAUAGGUAUGUACAUCAAAGAGCAUGACCAAACCUAAGAACUCAGAAAGACAAACAGCAAUUAAUGCUACAUCUUUAUUACGGUGGACCUUGUAUGACCUUGAUUUUAUAUCCAAACUAAGCUUCUGCAUUACUCUUCUGGAAAAAGAAGUCAGCUCUUUCCUAUUUCUCAUGUUUCAAAUCCAGUGUUGCACAACCGAGCAUCCAGACUUGCUGUUGUAAUUCAUGCUGUAGAGCAUCCUACCCACUGAAAUGAAUGGGAACUCUAAUGAAACUAAGAUGUAAGGAUGGCAACAUCUGCCUUAGAGUAAAAAUGGAAAUGCCAGCUAUGCUAUUAAAGAAAAAAAGGCCAUAAUAUACAUGAGAGAAGAACCAUGAGUCCUACCUUUAUGGUAUCUAUGAAUCUUAAACCUUACAGCAUUAAAAUAUGGGAAGUUUUUAUUUGUUCGAAACACAGAACAUAAAAUGCGUAGAAAACAAACAGCUCACAGUACGUAUUCUCCCUUUCAUCUUUGUCCAGAACUCCCACUGUUUUCUGUGCAGGAAAAACCAGUGCAAUAUGGUCCAAUGUCUGUAAGUGAUAAAGCAAAAAGCAUUCCAUUAAUUUAUUUCUGAUUUAAUCUGGGUUAUAUUAUUUCAUACAUGUUUGAGACUCCUCAAGUUGCUUGGUUUAUGCACGCAGCGCAUAUAAAUAUUAAUAUUUGGAUAUUGCAGUAUUGCUUCGGCCUAUUGAACAAUUUUUAAAAUAUGAUUUCUAUACUGAAAAAAAAGCCUCUUACAAUAAACUAUGACAAGGGGUAGAAUAUAGUCCUUAUAAAAAUCUGGUUGUGUUGAUAAAGAGAAAUUGCAUAAAUACUGAGACACUAAAGUUCAACAACCAGCUCGUUAGAUGAAGAAAUGCCCUGUUCUACUGGAGAACACAUCGGAAAGACUUUCAAAUGGGGAACUGUACUCUGAUUCCUGCAAUCAUGGUCAGCUUUGUCAGCAUGACUGCUAGAGCAGAGUAAAUUUAACACCAGAAGAGCUAUGGUCAGUCCACCUUCAGCCUUGCCUACCUUCAGUGAAAAGGUGUGCACCUGAAGACCGCUACAUUUACUGAGGUGCGGUAGUUUAAAAUAUUCCUCCUAAGCAUACCAAAGUGCCAGUACUUAAUUAUCAUGGAAGUUACCUUUGUUGAUAGUUUAUACUCUUUUUUUUUUUUUUUUUUCCUGGACAAGGAACCAGAACUACUAAAAUACAGAUGUGUAGUUUCUGCCACCUUUGAUAUGAAGGCAGAAAUUCCUGGGAGAGUGUCAAUCUGGUUAGUUAGGACUUGUAACCUCUUCAACUACUGAUACUCAGUAAGACGUGAUCUGCCUGACUGACUCCAAAAGCAAUAAUCCAUUGUUUGAACCACCUUGUCUCUCUCCUGCAGGGAGUUACCUCGUUCUGUGGGACAUGGAUCAAAUCCAAGUGCUGCUUUCCCAUCAGCAACACAAGAGCUGUCAGUGUUGCCUGUCCAAACCGAGGUAUAGACAUCUGGGCACACAUCAGGGUGGAGGUGGAAUUUUGUUAACAGAGAGAGCUAAGAACUCAGAGAAGACAGAGCAUUUGGGAACUGAUGCCCUCUCUGGAAUAUUAAAAGACCUUAUACAUACCUCAGCGGUUAUGUCUAUAUGGAUGAGUGUGGAGAGUUGCUUGCCUGCUCUUAUACUUAGAGCUACCAGGCUGCAGGCCAGCUCUGAUAUGAAAACUGAAACCACAGCAUUGUGACACUGUGCUUGUAUUUACCAUAACUGUUCUCUCUGCAGGACUUAUCAACACGGCUCUGAGCUUUUGGUGAGUGCAGCUACCUGAUACCCAGACCAGUCUGAUAACAUCCAUCUGGCUCAGACUGUAAGCAGCUGCAUGCACCACCCUGCACGGGCACUUUUGGUUAGUUGCAGUAGUCAGCUCCCACACAGCUACUGCAGCAGUUGUACACAGAUACAGUGAGCUGCUAGUCACUGUACAGUGGAAGCAAACUGCUUCUGUGGCAACAACACUCUUAACAUAUAAUUUCAUGUUUCAUACUGUAGUGGGUUUAUAAUCCCUUUGGAUUCUUCAAGUAAAAUGUAAAAAUGACAAUAUAUUGAAACCAAAUGAAGAAAAAAAUUAAAACCAGAGCAGCUCUAAACCGACAUAUUUAAAAUUACUUUGAAAUUAAAUUAAGCUUUUCAAAGACAAAUGGGUUUCUUGUGGCUCCAAAACAAACAGUAAGCAAUGAAAUACAGACUUAUAUGUGCAUAAAUGACUUAAGUGGUGAAUGGGAAGGAGAUGGUCAUGGAGGGCUGAGCUGAAGAAAGUAUAUUUGAAAGCUCCUGAAAAACCCAUGUAGGAGAGAGUUCCACAGAAAAACUGAAUACUAUGACUCAACUUGAUCCAGAUAAGGUUUUCAUAGGGGACUAAAAGGCAAAACCUUUGAUCUUGGUUGCUGUGAUAGAAAAUUGAGUAAUAAAUAAUGAUUCUUUUAAUAUCUUAAUCAUAGCUUAUAAAGGAUUUUCUCUUGCUAGCAUUCCUUUGCUUCUCAUUGUACUUUGACACACACAGCAUGAUUGCAUGAGUGUCUCAAGUAAACUCAAUAGCUCUUCCAGGAGGAGGCCUGACUCCUUGCAGCCCACCAAAGCUGAAUGUGUCAGAACAAAGGGACUAGAGGAAAAGCAGCCAAGGGGACUUCCUGGCUGGGGAUUGUGUAGCCAGCCAUCAGCCUGCUUUCAUGGAAACACUAGUAAGAGAAACAUCCUCAGGGAACCAUGUGGGCAAACGACAACAGAUGGAUCUGGGGAGUUCAGCUUCUUCCUUAAG